rnacentral:misc_RNA from 1 species
AACGCAUAUUGCGCCCCUUGGUAUUCCGAGGGGCAUGCCUUUUCGAGCGUCAGAAAUAAAAGCCAGGUUGCCUUGGUAUUGGGCCUGCGUCGCAAUGGUCGACGCGCCUUAAAGUGAUUCGGCGGCUUCGUGCGAGCUUCGAGCGUAGUAAAGCAUUUUAAAAGCAGCGCUUGUGGGCGACGUGCGGGCUUUAGCCUUGCAAACAGCAAACCCAUCGUAAAGAUUGACCUCGGAUAAGGUAGGGAUACCCGCUGAACUUAA